rnacentral:sRNA from 1 species
UAUUAAACUGGAUUGGAGCGGCAUCCUUUUUUACUGUGAUUCAAAGCGUAGCCCGAAAACCAGUAAAAAAGAUACAGCGAAAAGCCAGAGCAUCC